CGCCUUUUGACAUAUAUUUAUAAAAGGUCCUGCCUGCCCAGUGACCAUGUUCAACGGCCGCGGUAUCAUGACCGUGCAAAGGUAGCGUAAUCACUUGUCUUUUAAAUAAAGACUAGUAUGAACGGCAACACGAGAGUCCAACUGUCUCACUAAACUGGUCAGUGAAAUUAAUCUUUCCGUGCAGAAGCGGAACUAAUCAUAUAAGACGAGAAGACCCUGUGGAGCUUUAAAUCUAAGCUAAUAUGUAUAAUACCAUAGCACAUGAUUUUCGGUUGGGGCGACCGUGAGGCAAAACAAACCCUCAAGACAUUAAUUAGAGAGACAUCUCAACCAAAUAGUAAAACUAGCACAUUGACCCAAUAAUUGAUCAACGAACCAAGUUACCCCAGGGAUAACAGCGCAAUCCACUCAUAGAGCCCAUAUCGACGAGCGGGUUUACGACCUCGAUGUUGGAUCAGGACCACCUAGUGGAGCAGCAACUACUAAGGGUUCGUUUGUUCAACGAUUAAAGUCCU
rnacentral:rRNA from 1 species